UUAAAAAACAGUCAAUCAUCGAGCAAAUAAACAUCAUCAUAGUGCUCAAAAUUAUUGCACAAAUAUUUGAUAGCGCCAGUAACGUACGAACAGUGUCUAAGUAUGCAGCAUCUGCUUCGAUUAUGUUCAAUUUUAGUGGCCAUAGCUGCUUCAGCCAUUCCAUUUCCAACAGGACUGACUUGUUCAGAGAAAGAUCAUGACCAAGCUUGUCACAUUGAAGGAUUCACGUUCGAUUCCGCUGCGUCUUCGAACAGUCUUUCCUUUCCUGAUGUUCCUCUGCUUUAUCUAGACAACUGUACUAUUGAUGACUUUUCCUAACACUUUGCAUCACAUAUCCCAGCACAACUGAGAGUCUAUUCAUACUGGAUGGAUACGUUCCGAAAGUGUAUCUCAAACCGAGUUUGAAGUCGUUUACUGCUCUACGCGCCGCCACUGCUGAAAUCGCGAUUGAUCCCGAUGACAAUCACAAUUUGGAAAUCCUAGACAUUGAAGGGCUUCUGCAGUCCAUUCCAUUUGUUUGGCACUUGAAAAAGCUAGCCACUCUGGACUUGUGCGUGAAUGAAAUCAAAAGUUGGAAUCUCAAUCAUCUGGAUGGACUUGGCCAGCUCAGAAAGUUGAACUUGGGUCAUAAUCAAAUUGAUACUGUUAUUUCUUCAAGCGAAGUGAAUCUUCCGCUCUAAAAGAGCUGUUUCUGCAUGAUAAUAGAAUCACGACAUUGGAUUUGACUCACUUGAAGGCAGAUCGUUUGGAGCGACUGUAUCUAUCGCAGAACCAUCUAAUUCAAAUAGAAGGAUUCCCGCAACGCUUCAAUCAUUUGCGUAGAGUGGAUUUGUACCAGAACAAAGGAACUGUGAGUGGUUGGAGAGGACACUGAGUGUGCUGAAGAACGCUGGAGUAGAAACGCUGAGCUAUCUACCGGGGAAGGUGUGUGACGAGAGCGGGAGCGUUAAGGUCGAAGGUGUCAUGUGCGAUAAGGAUUCCACUGCAUUCUGAGUGCAGCGUAAUCAAUUGCUUUGCAAUGAUGGCAUUCUCAAUGCGGAUUUGAAUUGAUGAUGGUGUGAUGACUGAUGAACACAAUACGAAAAUGUACAUUUUUUAAGUUUCUAAUGACUAACACAAGCCGCGCGUGACUUAAUAUGUACAAAGAAAAUUAAUAGCAGAAUGAGAUGUAGAGCUUAGUUGAAUAAUCCUCUUAUACACUACUUAGUUUUUAGACAGAA